rnacentral:rRNA from 1 species
CCUACGGGAGGCAGCAGUGAGGAAUAUUGGUCAAUGGACGAGAGUCUGAACCAGCCAAGUAGCGUGAAGGAUGACUGCCCUAUGGGUUGUAAACUUCUUUUAUAUGGGAAUAAAACAGGGUAUGCAUACCCUCUUGUAUGUACCAUAUGAAUAAGGAUCGGCUAACUCCGUGCCAGCAGCCGCGGUAAUACGGAGGAACCGAGCGUUAUCCGGCUUUAUUGGGUUUAAAGGGAGCGUAGGUGGAUGUUUAAGGCAGUUGUUGAAGUUUGCGGCUCAACCGUAAAAUUGCAGUUGAAACUGGCAGUCUUGAGUACAGUAGAGGUGGGCGGAAUGCGUGGUGUAGCGGUGAAAUGCUUAGAUAUCACGAAGAACUCCGAGUGCGAAGGCAGCUCACUGGCCUGCAACUGACACUGAUGCUCGAAAGUGUGGGUAUCGAACAGGAUUAGAUACCCGAGUAGUC